rnacentral:sRNA from 1 species
CUGAAGAAGACGAAGAAGAGGAAGAAGAGGAAGAAGUCGAAGCUGUUC